AGAGGUUUAGGUUACAUCUAGACCAAGAGCCUUCAAAGCUCUAAGUAAGUUACAUUUCUUAACCUCUG
rnacentral:tRNA from 2 species